CCGAUGGUAAAAAUUUAAAUAGUAAAAAAGAUCAAAUAAACUCUAUUUACGGCAAAAAUUAUACAUUCAUAAAGUUAUACUAUCGAUUAACAAACAUUAGAUCAACAAUUAACCUGCUUUACACCGCGAAAUCAGUGAAUCAUAAAUAAUCGUGUGUAGGUUAGAAUUUGAGGUUAGGAGAGCAUAUGGCUCGAGCGAGUACGACACGUAUGUCGCGCAUGCGCGCUACGCCAGCUGCAAGCGUAUAGGCUUAUACAAGACUCGUAUUUGUAUACAAACAAGCGAUCUAUUUUCGGUUAUUGCGGUUUCACUAACAAGUUAGCAAAAUACUAGCGCUGUAGCACAACACGUCCGAAGUCGAAAACCACGAGUGGAUAGAAAGGUGUUCGUAUGAUUGAUGUCCGGUACUUAAAAAAGACUCGGGAUUCGUGUUACAACAUCCCAAUGAAGACAUUAAACAUUUAACGUAAUUUACUCACUCUGUUAUCAUCCCAUUAGCCCACAACCUUCUCUUAUAACAAGACCAAAAAAGAAGCGGAUCCCGCUAUCUCGGAACUUUUCGCAAGAUCCUAUUUGAGAAAGCCCGUAUAGGUACCGAGACAUCAUCUCAGAUUGAUCAAGUUGCGCAAAUUGAUAAUGGAUUUUCGUGAAAUAAUAAUCGAGCCGUUAAACGACGUAAUGAAAGUAAAAUUGCGUGCGUUUAUCCUAGAUUUUAUGAUGCUAAUAACAUUAUAGCGGCUCGGGCGGAGCAGCGGGAAGAGACUGAUGGCUAGCGGGCCGGGGGAAAAUAAAAGAGUUUCACUUAUGCAGCGGGUAUUUUCUUAAUCCGACGCACAACACACUGCGGGACACAACAAAAGUCUUUUGCCGAUAAGAGAAAGUAACUUCCUCGAGCAAACGCCAUUAAGAUGAUCGACACAUUAUUGCUCGAAAACCCGUUUAUUGAACUUUUAAUAUACCGGCAAAUUAAAUUCCCCGCGGGCAUGUAGACGUUUUUUCAAUGAAAACUCGCUAGAUUUACAGCUUUUUUACCCAAAGGCACACGCUGCUCCGUUGAUUUAUCGGGUAGCGUAUUUUUAAUUAUCAAAAUUGAUAGGAUAAUAGCAUUGUACUGCAUUGUGUGUAUUAAUUUUCGCGAAACAAUAACAAGCGCCCGUUACUCGACAGUUAAUCAGCUUUUGAACAGUAAAAUUUUGAAGAAGCCCGAGAUGCGCGCUUCUCGCUGCGUUAUAUGUCCGCUGCGCGGAAUUGCAGCUUCGAAGUAAUGGGAAAUAGAUUAUACCAGCCAAGUGGGAAAAUUAAAUAGGCUCGAAGUAUGAAAAGAAGUUGAACAGCUGAAGAAGUGAAAUUUUUCGCAAUUUAAAUUCAUAAUUCUCAUUGAAAACUCGCGCGUGCGCGUAACGCAACGCUGAUUUAUUUUCGAAAAAUAAAAUUAUCCUCUU